rnacentral:rRNA from 1 species
AGUGAACGCUGGCGGUAGGCCUAACACAUGCAAGUCGAACGGCAGCACAGUAAGAGCUUGCUCUUACGGGUGGCGAGUGGCGGACGGGUGAGGAAUACAUCAGAAUCUACUUUUUCGUGGGGGAUAACGUAGGGAAACUUACGCUAAUACCGCAUACGACCUACGGGUGAAAGCAGGGGAUCUUCGGACCUUGCGCGAUUGAAUGAGCCGAUGUCGGAUUAGCUAGUUGGCGGGGUAAAGGCCCACCAAGGCGACGAUCCGUAGCUGGUCUGAGAGGAUGAUCCGCCACCCUGGAACUGAGACACGGUCCAGACUCCUACGGGAGGCAGCAGUGGGGAAUAUUGGACAAUGGGCGCAAGCCUGAUCCAGCCAUACCGCGUGGGUGAAGAAGGCCUUCGGGUUGUAAAGCCCUUUUGUUGGGAAAGAAAAGCAGCAGGUUAAUACCCCGCUGUUCUGACGGUACCCAAAGAAUAAGCACCGGCUAACUUCGUG